UGUACACGUCACUUUUGAUCGAAUGGAUGGAGAUUUCUGCGAAAAUUUAAUAAAGCAAAUAUCAUGUGAUGCGAUAAACAGUUUUGAAAGCCAGAUUGCGUCGGGUUAUUCUCUUUCACAACGUUAUCUUGAGCUAUAAAUUACAUCAUGUCGUCAAAUGCUCAUACCAAUUGCAAAUGUGUCAGUUGAAUGGAAGAACCACUGUUGGGGUUCCACAUAUGAUGCGUUCAUCUGUCAGCUAAAAAAGGGCACAAAUACAAGAUUCAAUUUUGUAAAAGUCUAGCCUAUAAUAAGUCACAUCCACUCGAGAAGAGAACUUUGAUAUAUCAAGCGGUUUGGUUCGACGACUAGGCUUCCCGUGCCAGAAAAGUGAGCCGAUCGAGAUGCUUUCCGUGCCUCAACGAAAGCGAAAAGGGGCAGCGAAGAAUGAACAGAUAGGCAGCAUUUUGACAGAAAGGUGAGCGAAAUGCUUCUACACCGUGACUGUGACACUACGAAUGCUGACUUUAUUUGGGUACGUCACCAGGCACCACUCACUGUGAAAGACUGUGGCCCCCCCUCCCACACGGCCAACACCUAUUGCAUUUCAGUGAAACAUGUGGUGGUACUGUAACCUUAAGUAAUACGUCUCAAGCAUUUUAAUGUAUUUGCCUCUAGGUUUUGCUACAGAUAGACAUCGACUUUUUUACGUAAUACAAUUUAUAUCGUUGAAAUGUGCGCAUUGUAUGCGAUGGCAUGUACAUAAUAUAGGUACUGUGCUCAUUAAAUGUAAACUUAUGUUUUAAGUCUACUAUCAAGUGAUCCCGAUUGAAAUAAGAUCGACGAGGAUGAUCUCACGCGGGGAGACCCUAAUGAAUUAGCAGUUCAUCGCCUUAACCACUCGGCCACCUCGUCUUGUGCUCACUUUGAUAAAGUGGCGCAACAAUAACAGAACGCAUGAUACAGGCCUGCUCCGCAUAUCCUACAUGAAGCCCAUGGCCAACGAUUACGUCAGGAACAAGCCAGCAGCACGUGUUUGCCCGUAAGACUCCCUCCUGGCGACUGUCGAACGGCGAACGCGGACUUGAUGUGGACUCGUCACCAGGCACCACUCAUUCUGCAAGACUGUGAUCCGGGGCACUCCAGAGGGAGAUCACGAGGCCGUACAAAGAAAAGCUGAAUGAACAGUGUGAAACAGUCGGCGUCUGUUUCCAUGGGAGAGCUACUCACAGCAGCCCAAAACAAACUUGACUGGCGGAUGAUUACUGUGUAGUCGUCCCUCAUUAUGACGAUGAUGACACAAUUGAAAUUGAUAUUGUCAUUUAUAUGAAUAUUACAUGUCUUUAAAUUUCGUUCCAUAUAAAUGAGUUCAACACUUAUUGUAUUUCAGUGUAACGAUGUUAUUUAAACGUUAAGUAAUACGCCUCCAAAACAUAACAUGUUAUGUCCUUUUAAUUAUUACUAUUGUUAUAUACAACAAGCUACAUCGAUUGAGUGUGAGUUUUGAA